AGCACAUUUUCCCAGUCAUGAUCUCUAUCUUGAAGAGUAUAAUUUAAUGAAGAAUAUUCUGUCAUCCUUUGAAGUUUAACUGAAUAUGCAAGUAACCAAAAACCAAGCUUUGAGUAGAAGGUUUAUUCAGCCAGCCUUUGAGUUGAAAGAGGAAGGAGCAUCCUUCCUGCAUUUUUGGAAGAGGGAGGAGGAGAAAUGCCAUCAAGUCUCUAUAUCUAAUGAGAUGACAUCUAUUUUGCAUGUUUGCGAGAAUUAAACGAUGCAAUGAAGAUAAAUUUUCUGGAACACGGUAGGAG